rnacentral:rRNA from 1 species
UGGCGGCCUUAGCGCGGUGGUCCCACCUGACCCCAUGCCGAACUCAGAAGUGGAACGCCGUAGCGCCGAUGGUAGUGUGGGGUCUCCCCAUGCGAGAGUAGGGAACUGCCA